rnacentral:lncRNA from 1 species
AAUUUCCUUCGCCCAAUUAACUAUGGAGUCAGACUUGGGAGUUGGGGGGCAGGUGUUGGGAUAGAUCCUCAUCACUCAACCGACUACCCAUCUUAUUCAUCUCCCAGCCAACUAAAGGAGCCGCACUGACUAAGCUAUUACAACUCAACCUAACUCGGGUCAAUGAGUUUCGUCCAGUCAGAUCUACACCGACUAUUAUCGACAAUAAUCGACCGACCAGAGGC